rnacentral:lncRNA from 1 species
CUUCCUUUUUGUCCGACAUCUUGACGAGGCUGCGGUGUCUGCUGCUAUUCUCCGAGCUUCGCAAUGCCGCCUAAGGACGACAAGAAGAAGAAGGACGCUGGAAAGUCGGCCAAGAAAGACAAAGACCCAGUGAACAAAUCCGGGGGCAAGGCCAAAAAGAAGGACUUAUCAAACUGGUUUCAAAGCACAGAGCUCAAGUAAUUUACACCAGAAAUACCAAGGGUGGAGAUGCUCCAGCUGCUGGUGAAGAUGCAUGAAUAGGUCCAACCAGCUGUACAUUUGGAAAAAUAAAACUUUAUUAAAUCAAA